GUUUAAUUAUCCAAAAACACCAUAUUUUUGUUGUACUGCACAUUACUGCAACUCCUCUUUUCGCCCUGUACGCUGAGCUUUCUGUUUUAGCUACAUAUUGAGACAUCACACUUUAAUCCCAUCUUUGUUGGGAGUCGCACAUGCGCAGUAACUAGGUAUUGUGCCG